UGGGGGAUCGUCUAGCGGUAGGACUACGGACUCUGACUCCGUCAACCCUGGUUCGAAUCCAGGUCCCCCAACCA
rnacentral:tRNA from 1 species